GCGGUCGUGGCGGAACAGGCAGACGCGCACGUUUGAGGUGCGUGUGGGUAACCAUGGGGGUUCAAGUCCCCCCGACCGCACCA
rnacentral:tRNA from 1 species